CGGGGGCGGGGCGUAGAACCGGGGGCGGGACGUGGAGCGGAGAGUUGCGUUGCACGACAACUUCCGCUUUCGCUGCUCCCGCUCCAGUUUAUCUUGGUUCCUGAGAUUAACCUCCGGUGGCGCGGGUUGGGGAAGCCAUACUGAACCCUGGAAACGGUGAGGCUACGCGGCUCACCAUCUUGGGUAAUGGCGAAGAUGCCAUCCCAGUGCCUGACUCACGUUGUGGAAAUCUCCAUCCCCGAGAGAAAAGGAGUAUCCAUCCGUCGGUAAACUGGAACUGAGGGCCUGCUGGAAAUAUGUGAUCAAGUCAUAGGGUGGAUUUUUAACCCUCCGGAGUCUAAAGGUUAAAAGUUCCCAGCCUGAUUAAUUGCCUAAUAGCACCGUUUUCUCUCUUAUAUUUUCCACAACAGCACCUGUUAAAAUAAUAUUCCUCACUUUCAGUUGUGUAUGCUGGUUAUCUUUUGGAAAACUUGACCUUCUUAAACCCUUAAGUGAGAUCACCCAAUUACUGACAAAAUCAGGAAGCGUAAUGAACUAUUUAAUGGCUGCUAUUUUUUCCAGUUCUGUUAUAAAUCUUACUGAACUCGCUCUAUAAAUAUGUUACUGCACAUUCCAAAUGUAAACUUGCCACGACACUCUCAUGUAAAACGAUUUAAUUAGCACAGAUAGCAAAUGGCAAAACCAAAAUAUAAACACAAGUAUGUCUGACUACAACGGUAGCUAUCUUCACCACUUCAUUAUAUUGACUAUUGAAAAACCUGUCUCUAAUUUAUCUAGGUAGCUCAGUGAUACCUUAAAAUUCAAAAAGAAUUAUCAUAUCUGUCCAAGGCAAGGUUGUGAGAAAUUGGCCACUCUCAUACACUGUUUGCACGAAUGGUAAUCGGUACAGUAUUUUUUAGGGCCAUUUAGCACAAUUGACGAAAAUAUUGCAUAUAACUUUCAUUUUAGCAAAUCCACUAAUAGAUAUUUUAGAGAUAUUCUUAUAUGCAUAAAAUACGUACUACGUUUAUUGUAGCAUUGUUUAUAAUAGUGAAAAAAAUGGAAACAACGUGAAUGUCUAUCAAUAAUAAAUGGUUAAUGCC